AUCCAGCAGACACUCAGGACCUACAUGAGAUUCUCCAAAAUCACUCUUGCCAUUUGCUUUUUUUUUUGCAUUAUUUUAAUUCAUCCUAUUGUCGAGUGCAGUUUUUUAACCUUCCUGGGCUGGAAAAUAAACCCAAGGUCCCGGGAAGCUUGAGCCCAAGGUGGAGAUAACUGGUCUGUAGCCCUUGCAGAUUUCUUUCUGAUCAGCGACGGAGUUGUGGAUUCCCUCAGUCCAGCUGCGCUGUGUUAGUUAUUGGUGCCUCUGGAUACACAGCUGAAGAUCUUCCGGGUCAGUUGUUACACACAGGAAACAAACUGUCAUGGUGGAUCACGGUGCUGUGCCCAUCGUGUGUUCCUGAGUGCAUGAACGUAUCAUGGGACUCUCCGGGUGAAUCUUCCACGAGAUUGUGGAGCUGAAAUGUUAGGUAAUUUAUUGCCAGUCUUGUUCUCCAUGGCCAGUGAAACCAGCUCAGUGUUUUAGAGGGGCUACAGGGGGACUGUAAGUGAGUCAGAGUUUCUCAGCUCCACUCCUUGGGGUCUUUCACGUCUCCUUAAGUCAUGAACAGCUCGUCACCUGGCAGAAGGGUAACACUGACCCAGUGGAGGGUAAAACAGGCCAGUUCCCACCUUCUCUGCCUCCGGCGGUUGACGAUUCAGAACAGAGCUCCUACUGGACUCCGGACCGUGAGACCAGUGAGCUAACACAGCGGCUGUGAUCCAUGGCAGAUUCCUAUUUAAUUAAAUCCAAUAAACACCUCAUGUAAAUGAUGUCUGCGUGGUCUCUCCCACGGAGUGGCUGCUCAUCAGCUGAGAUUGCAGCUCUGGGGCUCGACUGGCUGCUCUGUUUACUGUCAUGUUUCAGUGCCUGUUUUCUGUCACAGGAACUAAUGACACAUCGCUCUUCAAAGUCUCCUUUGACUAUGAUAUAAUUAAACAAAUAAAAAACAA